AAACCGGAGCUAAUACCGAUAAUAUAUUGAACCGCAUGGUUCAAUAGUGAAAGACGGUUUUGNCUGUCACUUAUAGAUGGAUCCGCGCCGCAUUAGCUAGUUGGUAAGGUAACGGCUUACCAAGGCAACGAUGCGUAGCCGACCUGAGAGGGUGAUCGGCCACACUGGAACUGAGACACGGUCCAGACUCCUACGGGAGGCAGCAGUC
rnacentral:rRNA from 1 species